ACGAACGCUGGCGGCGUGCUUAACACAUGCAAGUCGAACGGAAAGGCCCUGCUUUUGUGGGGUGCUCGAGUGGCGAACGGGUGAGUAACACGUGAGUAACCUGCCCUUGACUUUGGGAUAACUUCAGGAAACUGGGGCUAAUACCGGAUAGGAGCUCCUGCUGCAUGGUGGGGGUUGGAAAGUUUCGGCGGUUGGGGAUGGACUCGCGGCUUAUCAGCUUGUUGGUGGGGUAGUGGCUUACCAAGGCUUUGACGGGUAGCCGGCCUGGGAGGGUGACCGGCCACAUUGGGACUGGGAUACGGCCCAGACUCCUACGGGGGGCAGCAGUGGGGAAUUUUGCACAAUGGGGGGAAGCCUGAUGCAGCAACGCCGGGGGCGGGAUGACGGCCUUCGGGUUGUAAACCGCUUUCGCCUGUGACGAAGCGUGAGUGACGGUAAUGGGUAAAGAAGCACCGGCUAACUACGU
rnacentral:rRNA from 1 species